GUGUGUCCAGGGCGAGGCUUUGCCAUUGCACAUCGGCUUAGCUGACCCUUGCGAUUACCCCAAAUGUGGGUAACUCGGUCGUAUAAUUUCUGGUAGUGGGGACUGCGUUCGCGCUAUCCCCGU
rfam:Ciona savignyi cont_62732, whole genome shotgun sequence.